AAACCAGCACCUCAAGUGGUCAGGAGGAUUAUUGGGCCUAAAGCAUCCGUAGCCUGCUGUAUAAGUUUUCGGUUAAAUCCAUACGCUCAACGUAUGGGCCGCCGGGAAUACUGUACAGCUAGGGAGUGGGAGAGGUAGACGGUACUCGGUAGGAAGGGGUAAAAUCCUUUGAUCUAUUGAUGACCACCUGUGGCGAAGGCGGUCUACCAGAACACGUUCGACGGUGAGGGAUGAAAGCUGGGGGAGCAAACCGGAUUAGAUACCCCAGUAGUCC
rnacentral:rRNA from 1 species